rnacentral:lncRNA from 1 species
GAAAAAUGAAAACAAACAUUGCCAUUUUUAUUUUUUUUAAACUGCAAAAAUAAAUGAAAAACAGAGAACACCGCUUUUAAUGCGAAAACAUCCAUUUAUUAAUGAUGCAAACAAUGCAAAAUGAAACACAUGAGGUGGCCCUUACAAUGGACCAUUACGUUUCGGGCAAAACGUAUGGCUUUCAUGCAAACAGAAUUGAAAAAACAGAAAUAUUACUCUUCACGUAGAGUGACAGUGAUGAUCUUUUCGGCCUUCCAGUUCUGGAUCUCCAUUCCUGGUACGCACGGUUUUAUCCACGAGUCAAACUCGCAGUCACUGUCAAUCUCUUCACCCACCGCAC